GAUGAACGCUGGCGGCGUGCCUAAUACAUGCAAGUCGAGCGAACAGACGAGGAGCUUGCUCCUCUGACGUUAGCGGCGGACGGGUGAGUAACACGUGGAUAACCUACCUAUAAGACUGGGAUAACUUCGGGAAACCGGAGCUAAUACCGGAUAAUAUAUUGCACCGCAUGGUUCAAUAGUGAAAGACGGUUUUGCUGUCACUUAUAGAGGGAUCCGCGCCGCAUUAGCUAGUUGGUCAGGUAACGGCUUACCAAGGCAACGAGGCGUAGCCGAACUGAGAGGGUGAUAGGCCACACUGGAGCUGAGACACGGACAAGACUCCUACGGGAGGCAGCAGUAGGGAAUGUGCGGCAAUGGGCGGAAGCAUGACGGAGCAACGCCGCGUGAGUUAUGAAGGUCUUCGGAUCGUAAAACUCUGUUAUUAGGGAAGAACAAAUGUGUAAGUAACUAUGCACGUCUUGGCGGUACUUAAUCAGAAAGCCACGGCUAACUACGUG
rnacentral:rRNA from 1 species